rnacentral:rRNA from 1 species
UGCGGGCGGGGCGAGCGUUGUUCGGAUUCAUUGGGUGUAAAGGGUGCGCAAGCGGUCGACUAAGUCGGAGGUGAAAUGUCUACGGCUCAACCGAGACACGGCCUCCGAUACUGGCCGACUUGAGUGCGGAAGGGGAGCGUGGAAUUCCUGGUGUAGCGGUGAAAUGCGUAGAUAUCAGGAGGAACACCGGUGGCGAAGGCGACGCUCUGGUCCGUAACUGACGCUCAUGCACGAAAGCCAGGGGAGCGAACGGGAUUAGAUA